rnacentral:rRNA from 1 species
UAUCAAUAAGCGGAGGAAAAGAAACCAACAGGGAUUGCCCCAGUAACGGCGAGUGAAGCGGCAACAGCUCAAAUUUGAAAUCUGGCGCAAGCCCGAGUUGUAAUUUGUAGAGGAUGCUUCAGGGCAGCGGCCGGUCUAAGUUCCUUGGAACAGGACGUCAUAGAGGGUGAGAAUCCCGUAUGCGACCGGUUGGCACCCGUCACGUAGCUCCUUCGACGAGUCGAGUUGUUUGGGAAUGCAGCUCUAAAUGGGAGGUAAAUUUCUUCUAAAGCUAAAUACCGGCCAGAGACCGAUAGCGCACAAGUAGAGUGAUCGAAAGAUGAAAAGCACUUUGGAAAGAGAGUUAAAAAGCACGUGAAAUUGUUGAAAGGGAAGCGCAUGCAACCAGACUUGUCGGCGGUGUUCCGCCGGUCUUCUGACCGGUCCAUUCGCCGCCGACAGGCCAGCAUCAUCUGGGCGCGCCGGAUAAAGGCGUAGGGAAUGUGGCUCCUCGGAGUAUUAUAGCCCCGCGCACAAUACGGCGCCGCUCGGGUGAGGUCCGCGCUUCGGCUAGGAUGCUGGCGUAAUGGUUGUCUGCGGCCCGUCUUGAAACACGGACCAAGGAGUCUAACAUCUAUGCGAGUGUUCGGGCGUCAAACCCCUACGCGUAAUGAAAGUGAACGGAGGUGGGAAGCGCAAGCUGCACCAUCGACCGAUCCUGAUGUCUUCGGAUGGAUUUGAGUAAGAGCAUAGCUGUUGGGACCCGAAAGAUGGUGAACUAUGCCUGAAUAGGGUGAAGCCAGAGGAAACUCUGGUGGAGGCUCGCAGCGGUUCUGACGUGCAAAUCGAUCGUCAAAUUUGGGUAUAGGGGCGAAAGACUAAUCGAACCAUCUAGUAGCUGGUUCCUGCCGAAGUUU